AUGAUUGCGAAUGGCUACCUUCAGUGCUGGCUCGCGCAAGCAAGCAAGUGCACGAUCGUGGCUUUCCUCCAUUACCACACUUGUGAACCUUUGGCCUCUUGCCGGCUUCGGCUGGUGGAGGUUUUUUACACACACACUAGAAUGUAAUGAAAAGAUAUAUUGUAUGUGCGCAAGCACGAAUGUA
rnacentral:misc_RNA from 1 species